AGAUGGAAAGAUAAGAGGCCUGUAAGAGCAGUUCAGGCAGAUCUAACAAACCUCGGAAACAAUAGGACUUCCAGGGCCUCUCGGAUCUAACAGAUCUUGUCAGAAAUCCAUUAAUCAAGGAUUAGAAGUGAGGUUUGAACAACGUUCUUCUUUUUAUAAAGGAACCUUUUAUGGAAGACACCUUCCAUCCAAACAGCUAAUUCCCUUCUGGUUUAGUCACUAUGAAUGACUUAUAGACACUGUGAGCACUUUAUGCCAGUGUGUGUGUAUGUGUGUGUGUGUGUGUGUGUGUGUGUGUGUGUGUGUGUGUGUGUGUGUGUAAGGAAGCACACCCCAUCUCAAGUCUGAUGAGUCUACUGGGGUUUCUAGCUGGAAAAAUGUUCAGGGUGAUGAAAGAAGGAAUAUCUGAGUUUUGGUAAAUAAAUGCAAACCAGUGAAAAUAUCAAUAAAAUAUUUUUAAUGCCUA